GACGAACGCUGGCGGCGUGCUUGACACAUGCAAGUCGAACGAUGAAGCCGGAGCUUGCUCUGGUGAAUUAGUGGCGAACGGGUGAGUAACACGUGAGUAACCUGCCCUUGACUCUGGGAUAACUGCGGGAAACUGUAGCUAAUACCGGAUACGACCCUCGGAGGCAUCUCCUGGGGGUGGAAAGAAUUUCGGUCAAGGAUGGACUCGCGGCCUAUCAGCUAGUUGGUGAGGUAAAGGCUCACCAAGGCGACGACGGGUAGCCGGCCUGAGAGGGUGACCGGCCACACUGGGACUGAGACACGGCCCAGACUUCUACGGGAGGCAGCAGUGGGGAAUAUUGCACAAUGGGCGCAAGCCUGAUGCAGCAACGCCGCGUGAGGGAUGACGGCCUUCGGGUUGUAAACCUCUUUUAGCAGGGAAGAAGCGAAAGUGACGGUACCUGCAGAAAAAGCACCGGCUAACUACGUGCCAGCCGCCGCGGUAA
rnacentral:rRNA from 1 species